rnacentral:rRNA from 1 species
UUGACCUCGGAUCAGGUAGGGAUACCCGCUGAACUUAAGCAUAUCAAUAAGCGGAGGAAAAGAAACCAACCGGGAUUACCCUAGUAACGGCGAGUGAAGCGGUAAGAGCUCAAAUUUGAAAGCUGGCCCCUUCGGGGUCCGCAUUGUAAUUUGCAGAGGAUGCUUCGGGAGCGGUCCCCAUCUAAGUGCCCUGGAACGGGCCGUCAUA